rnacentral:rRNA from 1 species
UACGGAGGGUGCAAGCGUUGUUCGGAUUUACUGGGCGUAAAGCGCGCGCAGGCGGUCUUCCAAGUCAGUGGUGAAAAGCCCGGAGCUCAACUCCGGAAUUGCCAUUGAAACUGUUGGACUUGAGGAUGAGAGAGGUGAGUGGAAUUCCCAGUGUAGAGGUGAAAUUCGUAGAUAUUGGGAAGAACACCGGUGGCGAAGGCGGCUCUCUGGACCGAUACUGACGCUCAUGUGCGAAAGCGUGGGGAGCAAACAGG